rnacentral:rRNA from 1 species
GACGACGGCUGGCGGCGUGCUUAACACAUGCAAGUCGAACGAGAAUCUGAUGACGGAGUUUUCGGACAACUGAUUCAGAGGACAGUGGCGGACGGGUGAGUAACGCGUGAGGAACCUGCCUUUCAGAGGGGGACAACAGUUGGAAACGACUGCUAAUACCGCAUGAAGCGUAUUGAUCGCAUGGUCGAUACGCCAAAGAUUUAUCGCUGAAAGAUGGCCUCGCGUCUGAUUAGCUAGUUGGUGAGGUAACGGCCCACCAAGGCGACGAUCAGUAGCCGGACUGAGAGGUUGAACGGCCACAUUGGGACUGAGAUACGGCCCAGACCCCUACGGGAGGCAGCAGUGGGGAAUAUUGGGCAAUGGGCGCAAGCCUGACCCAGCAACGCCGCGUGAAGGAAGAAGGCUUUCGGGUUGUAAACUUCUUUUGUCGGGGACGAGUAGAAGACGGUACCUGACGAAUAAGCCACGGCUAACUACGUG